CAAAAAAAAGGUAAAUCCCAAUGAGUCGUUUGUAUCCUCAGUUCUAGUAAAAGCAGGAUUUCAUUCAGUUAUCAGAAUAUUAAGUAUCAAAGACAUUUGUUGGGUUGCCAUAAAAAUCAAAGUGCUUCAAUACUUAACAAAAAUAUUGGACAUAUUUUAAAUGAAAAUACAAUCAUUACAAUUUACAAGUGCGUUUGAGUGAUGGGGAUUAGGGAUUUCUUUGGGAAGUUUUACCGCUAGAUAUUUCACCUGUUCUCAACAAAACAAAAAGAAUAGAAACAUAAACAUCUUUAAGCCAAACAAGAUGAAUCUAUGUAUCAUACUUCAACCUAACAAACCAGUCACACACUUUGUGGCACGACGUCCUCUACUGAAUCUGACUGACUGCUCGUCGGCCCAUUCCCAGGGAUGACUUUGUGGAGUGGUGGUAGCAAACCAUUCUCCAGAUGCCCACUGCCACAUGCAAGGGAGCUUAAUUGGCGAUCAUGUUUAUGUCGUGUUCUUUUUUUGUUUUGUUUUUUUACUCCGGAAUCGUUCUAUGGUAAUUUUCUAUUAAGGAAAAUUUCAAAUAUGUACAAGGUAACGAAAAGAGCUAAAGAAACCUAGAGAACAAAGUAGAAUGCAAUGUAAUGGUGCCAUCUCCUUGUUUCGUAGAGCUAAUGAGAUGGAAUGGAAUGGUUCCGUCUCGGUGUUUGGUUUCGUCUAAAUUCAACACUAAUGCUGACAGUAAACAUCAUUUAGCAACUACUAGUAUUAAAUUCAUGUCAACAAGUACUGGUACUAAGCAUCAUUUGUAAAAGUAAUGCAUCACCGUGUGCAUCUACACACAUCUUCAAGCAGGAUAGAAGGAAGCGCCGAGGAUUUGAUUCCUUGCACCUUCACUCAGGUCAGCCCGCUGCCCAAAUCAGCCUUCCUUGGUGGGCAGCACCAGCGUAGGUGGUGACGGCGGAGAGCUGUGCUCGGGAGGCGGGGUCAUCGGGCCAUGGCGUGGUGGAGGUGGAGGAGCAGCCGGUCAGAGCUCGGGUGAGCGCAGGUCAGAGGUUGACGACAGUGGCUGUUGGGGUCGACCAUAGUGCAGAAAGAGGCAGCGGCAGAGGCUGGCAUGGCCAUGACAGUGAGGGAGGAGGCACCUGCGGAAGCCGGUGAUAGAGCUAUGCAGAGGCAAGGUCAUGGAGGAUUGGCUGUCAGGCGCGCAGCUAAAAAGCACGGACACGCCAGGAAUCGCCGAACUGCCGUCCUGAUACGCCGGGAUACGCGAAUUUUGGAGUAUCCCCGAAAUUCGAAUUAAAAAAAAAGAAAAAACAAUUGGGAUACGCUGGGAUACGCGGGGACACGUUAGGGAUACGGCCUGGACCAUCAGGAACCCUAUUUUGCAGGGUCACGACAUAAUGAAGAGGCGCUCCCUCCCUGCCUCCCAGGUCGCACAGAUGGCGCCGCCACCUCCUGGACACUUCCCCACCGCCUGGACUCGCCGCCACCGCCGCCGGCGCGCCUGGAUUCGACCGGCGACCGUCCCCUCCAGCAGCAGCAGCAGCAGCCUCUCCUCGCAGCCGCAGGUACCAAACCAUGGCAUCUGCGAGUGGCACAGCCGGUAGCCAAUCAUCCGUGGGUGAGAGUGAAGGGCGUCCGGGUUCUGGUGCUGCAAUUGGGAGCCAAAUGGCAUUGCAAAUUGGAUGCAACUUGCAAUGACGAGGAUCAAACAAGCACUUGAUAAAAGAGCCACCAAAUGGGGCAGUAUUCUCUAUUCUCAACUCUUUUUCUUUUAAUUUUCUGUCUUAAUUCUAUAUUAUAUGUCAUAUUUUUAUUUUAUUUUAUAUAUACUCACCGUAUCCCCGAAUGGCUGUUUUUGGAAAAUACCCUAUCCCGUAUCCCCGUAUGCGUAUCCCCGUCCUUCCGUCCCCGUGUCCGUGCUUUUUAGGCGCGCAGGGUGCAUGGAGGCACAAUCGAGAGGAAGCAGAUGCGGGCAGGGAGGCCACAACGCCGGCCGGACGCGAGCAGAUGGCGGCUUGGCUGCACGGCGCUGCGGGCGACGUCCAUGGUGACCGUGCAGCAAGGUAGAAGUGGGUUUGGGAGCUCUUGUGAGGGAGCCUGCAGGGAGGAGGGCGAUGGACAGGCGGCUUGUAGGCCGGCUGGCUUCGCCGGCGGUGGUCGGGAGGCCAACCGGCAGCUGAGCGCGUGGGAUCGGGUGCAUCUCCCCCGGUGGUGGCUGCUUGUUGGGGUGAGACGAGAGAGGGUGAGAGGAAUGAGUGCAUUCUGCAUCUCGGGGGUAUAUUCCCCUCAGGUGGAAUCAGUGCAUUCUGUUUUCCUCUCGAGCCAAACGCAGGAACCGAGGUCAGGGACAUCACAGAUCCAUUACAUUCUACUUCAUUACUGAAACCAAACACAUCCCUAAAAAUAUACAUCUAUACAAUUCCUGAUUUCUGCAGCAUUGUGAUGAUUUGCUCUUAAGCUCUGAUCUUGAGGUCUUUCUUGAGGAUGUUGCACCACCCUUGAACAUGUGGGGCAGCACUAUGAGUUUUUUGCCAUUCCUUAAGAGUACAUAUGCUCCAGCAGCGCAUGAUUACUAGUUCAAGAGCAAUUGUAUUAGGCAAGUCUUGAGUGGCUAGAAGAGCCUCAUCAAAGAAUGAUAUUCCUCUGUUCUUAUUAGGAAUGAUCAUCUGUCAACAGUUUUGAUCAAAAGGGCAGUCCCAAUAUAGGUGGACUGGAAGCAGCACAAUGAAACCAUCCUAGCGUCGCCAGUUUGCUUGACAGAAUCAAAGCUGAGGUCAGAUUGUGCGCAGGGACAGUGGUGACGGGCCUUAGACAAUUUUGCCUGCAGUGCCUACCACCUAGUGUGUAGCGUUGUACUUUGGGGUGUGGCCUCUCGUAGGCUUGUACAUACAACUUCUUCUAUCAAUACAUUGAGACACAAGGCUUUUGCAUUCCAUCUAAAAGAACUAACAAACCAGCAAAAGAACAUAUAUUUUUUCUUUCCAAAAGUCCUGCUUACCAUCAUCUAUUUUAAAAAAUUGCCAUCCAAAGAGCCCUUAGAGGUUUAUCAAGCAAAUGCAAAAGCUGAAAAGGAAUGCAAGUGGCCUAAUUUUUUUUUUCUUUCGAGGUGGAUUCUCAAGCAACGGAAAUAACCAAAUUGCCUUUUGAGCAUGGCUAAAAUAGUUUAGGCGCAGAGGAUUACUUAUCAAGAUAAUAUAAUAGAAUUAAUGAAUUAGUGCACACACCUUAAUGUGAUCCCAGUCCAUGUUAACAACAGCAAGCCUAUGAGUUUCCUUAUCAAUCAUAGGUGUAUCAUCAUGCCUCGCCAUCAAGUAAUGA